rnacentral:rRNA from 1 species
GCAGUCGUACGAGAGUUUUUAAUUCUAGUGGCGGACGGGUGAGUAACACGUGAGAAUUUACCUUUAGGAGGGGGAUAACAAUUGGAAACGACUGCUAAUACCCCAUAUGCUUUUGAGUGAAAUGGAUUUAUAUUUAUCCGCCUAGAGAGAAGCUCGCGGCUGAUUAGCUUGUUGGUAAGGUAAGAGCUUACCAAGGCGACGAUCAGUAUCUGGUUUGAGAGGACGAUCAGACACACUGGAACUGAGACACGGUCCAGACUCCUACGGGAGGCAGCAGUGGGGAAUUUUCCGCAAUGGGCGAAAGCCUGACGGAGCAAUACCGCGUGAGGGAAGACUGCCUAUGGGUUGUAAACCUCUUUUUUCAGGGAGGAAUAAAAUGACGUGUACCUGAAGAAUAAGCAUCGGCUAACUCCGUGCCAGCAGCCGCGGUAAGACGGAGGAUGCAAGUGUUAUCCGGAAUCACUGGGCGUAAAGCGUCUGUAGGUGGUUUGAUAAGUCAACUGUUAAAUCUUGAGGCUCAACUUCAAAAUCGCAGUCGAAACUAUUAGACUAGAGUAUAGUAGAGGUAAAGGGAAUUUCCAGUGGAGCGGUGAAAUGCGUAGAUAUUGGAAAGAACACCGAUGGCGAAAGCACUUUACUGGGCUAUUACUAACACUCAGAGACGAAAGCUAGGGUAGCAAAUGGGAUUAGAUACCCCAGUAGUCCUAGCCGUAGACUAUGGAUACUAGAUGUUGAACAGAUCGACCUGUGCAGUAUCCAA